rnacentral:rRNA from 1 species
CAGGUGCUGCAUGGCUGUCGUCAGCUCCGUGUCGUGAGAUGUCGUUAAGUCCGCUAACGAGCGCAACCCUCGCUGUGUGUUACAAGUGUCACACGGAACUGCCGGUCAUAAACCGGAGGAAGGUGGGAUGACGUCAAGUCAGCAUGGCCUUUAUAUCCUGGGCUACACACACGCUACAAUGGGAAGGGACAAUAGGUCGCGAAGCCGCGAGGCGGAGCCAAUCCAGCAAAACUUCCCUCAGUUCAGAUUGCAGGCUGCAACCCGCCUGCAUGAAGUUGGAGUUGCUAGUAAACGCAGGUCAGCCAUACUGCGUUGAAUACGUUCCCGGGGCUU